rnacentral:lncRNA from 1 species
GCACGUAUCCCCGCAUUGCCAGCGUUAAGGCAAUGUCCCACAGUAAGAACACCAACGGUAUGCAGAUUUUGGCCAUCACUGCAUCUAAAAAAGGUUUACACCAAUUCAGAAAAAAAGAAAUUUAACAACAAAAUUGAAACCGAAUGGAUAAGAAAUGUAUCCAACCUGCAUCAAAACAAAUGUGCUAAGAUCCACUAUUCACUGGUGAAUGGAAAAAUAUUACUGGUAUCGCGUUAGGAAACGACGAGCUUCUAGUGGCGGCACGACUGAUUCGUUAAACUCAAGACACCAGAAGUAUAUACCGAACUACGAGGGGGAUCUUUCGACCGGAGAAAAAAAAGAAAUAAACGAAAGCUGAAGCAGCGCAAGAGGCAUUUAUUGUGACCCGAGUACAGAUGUUGGGAAAGUUCAGGGGUCAAGUUGCACUACGCAGGAAACUCGAGAUAGCUCAUUCUUUUCACUCGCAACUCACUAACCAAAUGUAAGCCACUUGUUUUUUAAAUAACAAACAUACUUGAUCACUAGUUUUUUAAAUUGCAUGUUGUGAACACAGAUUUUCCCAUUGCGUAAAUGACAACGAAUGUUUAUGAAAUUAUUCAUUACAUGUAGGUUAGUACGUAAGAAUGUUCAACAAAACAUUCGAAAUUCCCGUUGCAGACAUCUUUUCAUCAUGCCAAUCACGAGUUUCGCAACAAUUUUUCUGACGCAUGUAACACUAUUUGGAAGGCUGCUAGUCAACUGCUGCAGUAAACUAGAGACUAGCGUCGCAUGCCAAAUUCCAUUUACGGGAUUUGAUUACUAACAGCCUUCACACCCGUUUGUUCCCGUCUGCUGGCCUCUUACACUAGGGAGUUGUGCAAAAAGGUACAUAAACCUAUUUCUCUAAUUAACAGUAUAGUUAGGUGAUAUUAAUAACAAGAAAAUAUUUUACGUAAACCAAAAGAUUGUUUUCAUAUGCCUUUUAUUAACUUGUCACAUUUCAACAUAUAACAAGUAGGCACAAGAGGACGUUUAGGCGUCAGCAAUGGUCACUUCAACUUCCACGCCAGGCUCAAUCGAGAAAGAUGUGAUCUGUUUAACGAUCUCAGCUGGGCUUUGGAGAUCAAUGAUACGUUUGUGAAUUCGCAUCUGGAAUCUAAGCAAAAUAACUAGAAGUUAGAAUAAAGUAAAGAAAGAUGCUACGAGAUAACGAACCUGUCCCAAGUCUUCGAUCCCUCACCACAAGGUGUCUUACGAGUAGUGAUACGUAGAGUUUUGGUUGGCAUGCGGACAGGUCCCUUCACACGAAGGUUUUUAUCCUUUGCAGCACCAACCAACUCAGAGCACACUAGUAAAAAUAAACUCAUGAAAAGAAAGGAGAUGAAAAUAUUUAAUCAACAUCAAUACCUUUCUCGAGUGAUGGUACAUUGCGAGAAGUCAAUGUAAUUCGGAUCUUGUGAAUUACAGCCUCUUCAGCCACCGGUUUACCAGUGUCCUUAUAGGCCUGUUACAUGCAACAAACAUAGCAGUUAAGCAGGAGAAAAUAACUUAACAAAACAAUUGUGAAACUGGAAACAAAUUAUAAAGGAAAAAACUUUUACCAUGAUUAAAGUUACAACUCACGGCUUGGCCGAGAUGAUCACGGAUAAGAUCGCGACCAGGCGCUGAACCAAGCUCGCAAACUAGAGUGAAUGAGCAGUAGACGCAGCUCUAGAGAAGAAGAAGCUCGCUUGAGGCGAAAAACAGGACGUGCUUGGUUGCCAGUAGUACCUUAAUACUCCCAUUUUUUAAAAGCUAAAUUCUGAUUUAAUUGAAUUUUAAAAGAAAUUUAUUAAAAAAGUUGGAAAUUCGAAAAAAAAAUAAAUAAAUAAAAAUAACUAUAGAAGUAUAAUGAUUUUUAAAAGAAUAAUUAAUUUUAUGUUUCCAUUUUGUGUUUUGUGUGGUUUUGUCCCACAGCGGAUAACCGUGCUCAUGCUGGUGAAUGGCCGACUGCACACUGUAGUGAUGUCCUUUUUCCAGGAUUCUUGUAUGUUCCCAAACGAGUUAAAUUGCGACAAUAUUAACUUUUUAAAAGGCGUGUUUCAUACAAAAGUCAAAUACAAUUAAUUUUCAAUGUU